UGGGGAAUAUUGGACAAUGGGCGCAAGCCUGAUCCAGCCAUACCGCGUGGGUGAAGAAGGCCUUCGGGUUGUAAAGCCCUUUUGUUGGGAAAGAAAUCCAGCUGGUUAAUACCCGGUUGGGAUGACGGUACCCAAAGAAUAAGCACCGGCUAACUUCGUGCCAGCAGCCGCGGCAAUACGAAGGGUGCAAGCGUUACUCGGAAUUACUGGGCGUAAAGCGUGCGUAGGUGGUCGUUUAAGUCCGUUGUGAAAGCCCUGGGCUCAACCUGGGAACUGCAGUGGAUACUGGACGACUAGAGUGUGGUAGAGGGUAGCGGAAUUCCUGGUGUAGCAGUGAAAUGCGUAGAGAUCAGGAGGAACAUCCAUGGCGAAGGCAGCUACCUGGACCAACACUGACACUGAGGCACGAAAGCGUGGGGAGCAAACAGGAUUAGAUACCCUGGUAGUCCACGCCCUAAACGAUGCGAACUGGAUGUUGGGUGCAAUUUGGCACGCAGUAUCGAAGCUAACGCGUUAAGUUCGCCGCCUGGGGAGUACGGUCGCAAGACUG
rnacentral:rRNA from 1 species